rnacentral:rRNA from 1 species
GACAGAGGGGGGGAGCGUUGUCCGGAGUCACUGGGCGUAAAGCGCGCGCAGGCGGCAACCUAAGUGUCGGGUGAAAGCCCCCGGCUCAACCGGGGGAGGCCAUGGCAAACUGGGUCGCUCGAGCUGCGGAGAGGCCCCUCGAAUUGCCGGUGUAGCGGUGAAAUGCGUAGAGAUCGGCAGGAAGACCAAGGGGGAAGCCAGGGGGCUGGCCGCAGGGUGACGCUGAGGCGCGACAGCGUGGGGAGCAAACCGG